GUUUGCUCUCUCGUUCCCGGAGCCCAGAGCAAGCAGGUCUCCUUCCCUGCGGUUUGCUGGGUGGCUCCGGGAACGCGAGAGCAAACCGCGGCGAAGCGGGUCUCCUUUCCCGGUUUGCUCUCUCGUUCCCGGAGCCCCGAGCAAGCAGGUCUCCUUCCCUGCGGUUUGCUGGGUGGCUCCGGGAACGCGAGAGCAAACCGCGGCGAAGCGGGUCUCCUUUCCCGGUUUGCUCUCUCGUUCCCGGAGCCCAGAGCAAGCAGGUCUCCUUCCCUGCGGUUUGCUGGGCGGCUCCGGGAACGCGAGAGCAAACCGCGGCGAAGCGGGUCUCCUUUCCCGGUUUGCUCUCUCAUUCCCGGAGCCCCGAGCAAGCAGGUCUCCUUCCCUGCGGUUUGCUGGGUGGCUCCGGGAACGCGAGAGCAAACCGCGGCGAAGCGGGUCUCCUUUCCCGGUUUGCUCUCUCGUUCCCGGAGCCCCGAGCAAGCAGGUCUCCUUCCCUGCGGUUUGCUGGGCGGCUCCGGGAACGCGAGAGCAAACCGCGGCGAAGCGGGUCUCCUUUCCCGGUUUGCUCUCUCGUUCCC